AGAGUUUGAUCAUGGCUCAGAUUGAACGCUGGCGGCAGGCCUAACACAUGCAAGUCGAGCGGUAGCACAGAGAGCUUGCUCUCGGGUGACGAGCGGCGGACGGGUGAGUAAUGUCUGGGAAACUGCCUGAUGGAGGGGGAUAACUACUGGAAACGGUAGCUAAUACCGCAUAAUGUCGCAAGACCAAAGUGGGGGACCUUCGGGCCUCAUGCCAUCAGAUGUGCCCAGAUGGGAUUAGCUAGUAGGUGGGGUAACGGCUCACCUAGGCGACGAUCCCUAGCUGGUCUGAGAGGAUGACCAGCCACACUGGAACUGAGACACGGUCCAGACUCCUACGGGAGGCAGCAGUGGGGAAUAUUGCACAAUGGGCGCAAGCCUGAUGCAGCCAUGCCGCGUGUGUGAAGAAGGCCUUCGGGUUGUAAAGCACUUUCAGCGGGGAGGAAGGCGGUGAGGUUAAUAACCUCAUCGAUUGACGUUACCCGCAGAAGAAGCACCGGCUAACUCCGUGCCAGCAGCCGCGGUAAUACGGAGGGUGCAAGCGUUAAUCGGAAUUACUGGGCGUAAAGCGCACGCAGGCGGUCUGUCAAGUCGGAUGUGAAAUCCCCGGGCUCAACCUGGGAACUGCAUUCGAAACUGGCAGGCUAGAGUCUUGUAGAGGGGGGUAGAAUUCCAGGUGUAGCGGUGAAAUGCGUAGAGAUCUGGAGGAAUACCGGUGGCGAAGGCGGCCCCCUGGACAAAGACUGACGCUCAGGUGCGAAAGCGUGGGGAGCAAACAGGAUUAGAUACCCUGGUAGUCCACGCUGUAAACGAUGUCGAUUUGGAGGUUGUGCCCUUGAGGCGUGGCUUCCGGAGCUAACGCGUUAAAUCGACCGCCUGGGGAGUACGGCCGCAAGGUUAAAACUCAAAUGAAUUGACGGGGGCCCGCACAAGCGGUGGAGCAUGUGGUUUAAUUCGAUGCAACGCGAAGAACCUUACCUGGUCUUGACAUCCACAGAACUUUCCAGAGAUGGAUUGGUGCCUUCGGGAACUGUGAGACAGGUGCUGCAUGGCUGUCGUCAGCUCGUGUUGUGAAAUGUUGGGUUAAGUCCCGCAACGAGCGCAACCCUUAUCCUUUGUUGCCAGCGGUUAGGCCGGGAACUCAAAGGAGACUGCCAGUGAUAAACUGGAGGAAGGUGGGGAUGACGUCAAGUCAUCAUGGCCCUUACGACCAGGGCUACACACGUGCUACAAUGGCAUAUACAAAGAGAAGCGACCUCGCGAGAGCAAGCGGACCUCAUAAAGUAUGUCGUAGUCCGGAUUGGAGUCUGCAACUCGACUCCAUGAAGUCGGAAUCGCUAGUAAUCGUAGAUCAGAAUGCUACGGUGAAUACGUUCCCGGGCCUUGUACACACCGCCCGUCACACCAUGGGAGUGGGUUGCAAAAGAAGUAGGUAGCUUAACCUUCGGGAGGGCGCUUACCACUUUGUGAUUCAUGACUGGGGUGAAGUCGUAACAAGGUAACCGUAGGGGAACCUGCGGUUGGAUCACCUCCUU
rnacentral:rRNA from 1 species